rnacentral:rRNA from 1 species
ACGUAGGGUGCGAGCGUUAAUCGGAAUUACUGGGCGUAAAGUGUGCGCAGGCGGCAGAGCAAGUCGAGUGUGAAAGCCCCGGGCUUAACUUGGGAAUUGCGCUCGAAACUACUUUGCUGGAGUGUGGCAGAGGAAGGUGGAAUUCCACGUGUAGCGGUGAAAUGCGUAGAGAUCGGGAGGAACAUCGGUGGCGAAGGCGGCCAUCUGGGACAACACUGACGCUGAAGCACGAAAGCGUGGGGAGCAAACAGGA